UCUUACGGACGAGCAAAGAAAGUGGUUCCUGCAGAUGGAAUCUACUUCUGGUGAGGAUGCUGUGAA
rnacentral:pre_miRNA from 1 species